UACAGAGGGUGCGAGCGUUAAUCGGAAUUACUGGGCGUAAAGCGUGCGCAGACGGUCAUGUAAGUCGGGUGUGAAAGCCCCGGGCUCAACCUGGGAAUUGCAUUCGAGACUGCAUGGCUAGGGUGCGGAAGAGGGAAGCGGAAUUUCCGGUGUAGCGGUGAAAUUCGUAGAUAUUCGGAAGAACACCAGUGGCGAAGGCGGCUCACUGGACUGGUAUUGACGCUGAGGUGCGAAAGCGUGGGGAGCGAACCGGA
rnacentral:rRNA from 1 species